AACGCGAAGAACCUUACCUGGAUUUGACAUCCUCUGACAUCCGUAGAGAUACGGCCUUCGUAGCAAUACGACAGAGAGACAGGUGCUGCAUGGCUGUCGUCAGCUCGUGUGGUGACAUGUUGGGUUAAGUCCCGCAACGAGCGCAACCCUUGUCCUUAGUUGCCAGCAUUAAGUUGGGCUCUCUAAGGAGACUGCCGUGGUCAAACCGGAGGAAGGUGGGGACGACGUCAAAUCAUCAUGCCCCUUACGUCCUGGGCUGCACACAUGCUACAAUGGCCGGUACAGAGGGCUGCAACCCCGCGAGGGUGAGCGAAUCCCAAAAAGCCGGUCUCAGUUCGGAUUGGAGUCUGCAACUCGACUCCAUGAAGGCGGAGUCGCUAGUAAUCGCAGAUCAGCAACGCUGCGGUGAAUACGUUCCCGGGCCUUGUACACACCG
rnacentral:rRNA from 1 species